rnacentral:rRNA from 1 species
AGAUUGAACGCUGGCGGCAUGCCUAACACAUGCAAGUCGAACGGGAGUAGCAAUACUCUAGUGGCGGACGGGUGAGGAAUACGUAGGAAUUUGCCCUUAAGUGGGGGAUAACCCGGGGAAACCCGGAUUAAUACCGCAUGACCUCGAAAGAGCAAAGUGGGGGAUCGCAAGACCUCACGCUUUUGGAGAAGCCUACGUCGGAUUAGCUAGUUGGUGAGGUAAUGGCUCACCAAGGCGACGAUCCGUAACUGGUCUGAGAGGAUGAUCAGUCACACCGGAACUGAGACACGGUCCGGACUCCUACGGGAGGCAGCAGUGGGGAAUAUUGGACAAUGGGCGCAAGCCUGAUCCAGCAAUGCCGCGUGUGUGAAGAAGGCCUUCGGCUGUAAAGCUAACGUUUAAGUUAGGGAAGAAAAACUACGACUCUAACAGAGUGAGUCUUGACGUUACCGACGA